rnacentral:rRNA from 1 species
GACGAAGGUGGCGAGCGUUGUUCGGAAUCACUGGGCGUAAAGCGUGCGCAGGCGGUUUUGUAAGCCAGAUGUGAAAGCCCCGGGCUUAACCUGGGAAUGGCAUUUGGGACUGCAAGGCUUGAGUGCGGCAGAGGAGACUGGAAUUCCUGGUGUAGCAGUGAAAUGCGUAGAUAUCAGGAGGAAUACCGAUGGCGAAGGCAGGUCUCUGGGCUGACACUGACGCUCAUGCACGAAAGCGUGGGGAGCAAACAGG